rnacentral:rRNA from 1 species
GACAGAGGUCCCGAGCGUUUAGGCGGAAUCACUGGGCUUAAAGCGUGUGUAGGCGGAUCGUUAAGUACCUUGUGAAAUCCCACGGCUUAACCGUGGAAUUGCUGGGUAUACUGGCGGUCUUGAGCCACUUAGGGGCUACCGGAACAAAUGGUGGAGCGGUGAAAUGCGUAGAUAUCAUUUGGAACGCCAAUGGUGAAAACAGGUAGCUGGGAGUGUGCUGACGCUGAGACACGAAAGCCAGGGGAGCAAACGGG